AGCGAACGCUGGCGGCAGGCCUAACACAUGCAAGUCGAACGAACCUUUCGUGGUUAGUGGCGGACGGGUGAGUAGCACGUCGGACCGUUCCUUUAUGUUCCGAAUACCUCAUUUUCACUUGUGCUAAUACCGAAUAUGCCCUUCUGGUGACAGAUUGUCCCCUUUAGAGCGGCCCGCGUCUGUUUAGCUAGUUGGUUGUGGUAAUAGCCCACCACGGCUAGGCUAAGUAGCUGGUCUGAGAGGAGGAUCAGCCACAUUGGGACUGAGACACGGCCCAAAAUACUACGGGAGGGAGGAGUGGGGAAUCUUGCGAAAUGGGCGAAAGACUGACGCAGCCAUGCCGGGUGAAUGAUGAAGGUGGUAGGAAUGAAAAAUUCUUUCACCGGGGACGAUAAUGACGGUACCCGGAGAAGAAGCCCCGGCUAACUUCGUG
rnacentral:rRNA from 1 species